GGGGGAAAAAUUUAAUAAUUAAAGUAUUAAUAAAAAAAUUUUUAAGUUAAAAAAAAUUUAAUGGGGGUUAAAGUAUUUUUAAUAAAAAAAAUUUAAAAUUUUAUAGUAAAUUAGUAUUGUGAAAGAAUUUUUAAAUAGUUGAAAAAUAAUUGAAUUAAAAGUAAAUUUUAUUUAUUGUAUCUUGUGUAUCAGAGUUUAUUAAAUAUUAAUUUUAAAUAAAAUAAUCUCGAAUUUAAAAGAGUUAAUUAAUUAAAAAAGUUACUGUUGAAUAAUUAUUUUUAAUAAUUAAUUAGAAAUGAAAUGUUAAUCGUUUUUAAAGAUAUCUAGUUUUUUUAGAAAAAAAUUUAAUUUUAAAUUAAUAUUAUUUAUUAAUUUAUUUAAAAAUUAAUAAAAUUUUAAAUUUAAUAGUUUGGGGGAUAAGCUUUAAAUUAAAAUUUUAUAAUUAAUUAAUUAAAUUAUUUAAAAUUUUUAAUAUUUAAAUUGUUUAAAAUUUUUAGUUUAUUAUAAAAAAUUUUAAUUUAAAUAAAAUUUAAUAUAAAUUUAAUUUUUUUAUAAAAAAAAUUAUUAAAGUUAUUAAAAUAAAGUUAUAAUGAUAAAAUUAGUAUAUUAAAAAAAAAAUUAUAAAAUAAAUUUAUAAUUAAAUUAAAGGAAUUCGGCAAAAAUUUAUAUUCACUUGUUUAUCAAAAACAUGUCUUUUUGUUAAUAAUUUAAAGUCUAAUCUGCCCACUGAUUUAAAAUUAAAGGGCUGCAGUAUAUUGACUGUACAAAGGUAGCAUAAUCAUUAGUCUUUUAAUUGAAGACUUGUAUGAAAGAUUUGAUGAAAUAUAUACUGUCUCUAUUUUAUUUAUAGAAUUUAAUAUUUUAGUAAAAAAGCUAAAAUAUUUUUAAAAGACGAGAAGACCCUAUAGAGUUUUAUAAUUUAUUUAAUUAAAAUAUUAUAUAUUAUUUAAUAUUAGAGUUAAUUAAAUUAUUUUAUUGGGGUGAUAGAAAAAUUUAAUAAACUUUUUUUUUAAUUUUAACAUUUAUAAAUGUAUAAUUGAUCCAUUAUUAAUGAUUAAAAGAAAAAAUUACCUUAGGGAUAACAGCGUAAUAUUUUUUUUUAGUACAAAUAAAAAAAAGAGUUUGCGACCUCGAUGUUGGAUUAAGAUAAAAUUUAAAUGCAAAAGUUUAAAAUUUUGAUCUGUUCGAUCAUUAAAAUCUUACAUGAUCUGAGUUCAAACCGGUGUGAGCCAGGUUGGUUUCUAUCUUUAAAUAAAUAAAAUAUUUUAGUACGAAAGGAUCAAAUAUUUAAAAUAAUUUUAAUUUUUGAAUUUUAUUAAUUUAUUUGUUUAUAUAUAUAUAUAUAUAUAUAUUAA
rnacentral:rRNA from 1 species